AUGCAAGGGGAUGAAAAGGGCUGGUUGGGCGCAAAUAGGUGACUGGUCCAUACACUGGUCUGGUCACACCCUGCACCUGAUCAUUUAUUUUCUACCUUUAGUAUCAUUGGCAGGAUGGCAUCAGCUUGUGGUGAACCACUGAAAGCCAGACACAGCUCUGAGAAAGCCUCCUCUUACUGCUGCUCAUAUGGAAGAUUGAGGGAUUCAUCAAUCACUGCAGAGAAACUCCAAGGAACACUGAAGGGGCAGCUGAUGGGAGCUCCUGUGCGGCAGCACGAAGCUCUGCAGGGAGAAGGGGACAGGGGUUACACAGGAAAACAUCUCUGUGUGGAAACUGGAACCUCUCUGAGUCUCCCCUGCUAUCAAUGAACAGCAAGCAGAACUUUCUCCAGGUGACUCUGUGUUCCAGCUGUGGCACGCAGUGCUGUUGGAAAGCAACAGAUUCUGCUCUGUCCACCCAAAAAUUCCCUGAUAUAGCCACUCCAGACAAUGAGAUGGAUUCUGUGUUGUGUGCUAUGGUAUCAAACAUCUUAGCUGCUGUUUCUUAUUUUCUCACACAACAAAUCCUCAGGAUAUGGUAAAAAGUGACAAGAAAUUAGAAACUCCUUGUGGUUGGAUAUUUCAGGGCAGAAGCUGGAACUUGUUGCUCUGCUUCUGGUGUGUGCUUGUGUCCAAGCACUCCCUGAAAUACUAAAACAUCCCUUUAAAGCAUCUGGUUGGAAAAGCUGGACACACUGAAAUGUGAUAACAAAUCCUGAGGAAAAGGAAAGCAGAGGACUUGGGGUGAGUUAAAAAUAUCUCUGUGAACCGAUUUUUACAGAGCAGUCCUCUCCAUUGGGAGGAAAUUCCAGCUAGACCAUACUUCUGUUUCUUUACAGAAAGGACAUUUCCUUUGCUGAGAGGAUAUCUUUGCUGUGGGGCCAUGGAUCUCUUAAUUUUAAAAACAUGUGUGCAGUACACAGUAGUCAAACUGGUGACAAAAAAUAGUAAACUGAGAUUUCUUUACUUCAGAGACAAAAUACAGCUGGAAAAUUCACCACAGUAGGACAAUAAUUCCCAAUGGAAUUAUUUCCAGAAUAGACAAGUUAACUACUCAAUUUAGGAUUUAGUCCAUAAUAUAUGCAAGUCCAGAGUUUUCACCAGUGCAAAAUCUGUAUCAGUAAAUAAAUUCCUCCACUAAAACA
rnacentral:lncRNA from 1 species